AUUGAAGUUUCAAACAUGUUUAAAAAUGAUAUUCAAAAGGGCAAACAUCAAAUAACUUUUUAAACUUUAAAAAUGAUGCCAACUUAUGGGACUUUAUGAAUACAUCAACAGUAUGAUCUUCACUUCUAUAAUAUAAGAGAUCAGUUACAUAAUCCUUCAUAAGGUCCCUCAAAAAAUAAAAUUUCGCAUCAAUAUGCUUGCUUCUUCCAUAUAUAAUAAGGUUUUUGAAGAACUUGAAUUAUUGUGAUAAUAAAUUAUGGUG
rnacentral:lncRNA from 1 species